rnacentral:rRNA from 1 species
UAACGCGUGGGAAUCUGCCCUGGAGUGCGGGAUAACCGAGGGAAACCUCGGCUAAUACCGCAUAAGGCCCGAUGUCGUGGAGAUGUCGGGCGAAAGAUUUAUCGCUGCAGGAGGGGCCCGCGUCGGAUUAGCUAGUUGGUGAGGUAACGGCUCACCAAGGCGAUGAUCCGUUGCUGGUCUGAGAGGAUGAUCAGCCCCACUGGGACUGAGACACGGCCCAGACUCCUACGGGAGGCAGCAGUGGGGAAUAUUGGACAAUGGGGGCAACCCUGAUCCAGCAAUCCCGCGUGAGUGAUGAAGGCCUUAGGGUUGU